AUAUGUCAGCCAAAAUACAUUCAAGGAACCAGAUCCUGUCUGAUCUUGGAUGCUAAUUAGGGCCAGCCCUGGUUAGUACGUGGAUGGAAGACCACCAACGAAUACCAGGUUCUUUAUUUC
rnacentral:rRNA from 1 species